rnacentral:rRNA from 1 species
GGGUUUAAUACCGUAUACGCCCUUCGGGGGAAAGAAUUUCGGUGAGGGAUCGGCCCGCGUUAGAUUAGUUAGUUGGUGGGGUAAUGGCCUACCAAGACUACGAUCUAUAGCUGGUUUGAGAGGAUGAUCAGCAACACUGGGACUGAGACACGGCCCAGACUCCUACGGGAGGCAGCAGUGGGGAAUCUUAGACAAUGGGGGCAACCCUGAUCUAGCGAUGCCGCGUGAGUGAUGAAGGCCUUAGGGUCGUAAAGCUCUUUCGCCUGUGAUGAUAAUGACAGUAGCAGGUAAAGAAACCCCGGCUAACUCCGUGCCAGCAGCCGCGGUAAUACGGAGGGGGUUAGCGUUGUUCGGAAUUACUGGGCGUAAAGCGCACGUAGGCGGAUUAGUCAGUCAGAGGUGAAAUCCCAGGGCUCAACCCUGGAACUGCCUUUGAUACUGCUAGUCUUGAGUUCGAGAGAGGUAAGUGGAAUUCCGAGUGUAGAGGUGAAAUUCGUAGAUAUUCGGAGGAACACCAGUGGCGAAGGCGGCUUACUGGCUCGAUACUGACGCUGAGGUGCGAAAGUGUGGGGGAGCAAACAGGCAUUAAAUACCCUGGGUAGUCCACACCCGUAA